rnacentral:rRNA from 1 species
AGUGAACGCUGGCGGUAGGCCUAACACAUGCAAGUCGAACGGCAGCACAGAGGAGCUUGCUCCUUGGGUGGCGAGUGGCGGACGGGUGAGGAAUACAUCGGAAUCUACUCUGUCGUGGGGGAUAACGUAGGGAAACUUACGCUAAUACCGCAUACGACCUACGGGUGAAAGCAGGGGAUCUUCGGACCUUGCGCGAUUGAAUGAGCCGAUGUCGGAUUAGCUAGUUGGCGGGGUAAGGGCCCACCAAGGCGACGAUCCGUAGCUGGUCUGAGAGGAGGAUCAGCCACACUGGAACUGAGACACGGUCCAGACUCCUACGGGAGGCAGCAGUGGGGAAUAUUGGACAAUGGGCGCAAGCCUGAUCCAGCCAUACCGCGUGGGUGAAGAAGGCCUUCGGGUUGUAAAGCCCUUUUGUUGGGAAAGAAAUCCAUCUGGUUAAUACCCGGAUGGGAUGACGGUACCCAAAGAAUAAGCACCGGCUAACUUCGUGCCAGCCGCCGCAGUAA